rnacentral:rRNA from 1 species
UACAGAGGGUGCGAGCGUUGUCCGGAAUCACUGGGCGUAAAGGGCGCGUAGGCGGCUUGAUAAGGUUGCGGUGAAAGCCCGGGGCUCAACCCCGGGUCGGCCGUGGCAACUGUCGAGCUGGAGCACUGUAGAGGCAGGUGGAAUUCCGGGUGUAGCGGUGGAAUGCGUAGAGAUCCGGAAGAACACCGGUGGCGAAGGCGGCCUGCUGGGCAGUGGCUGACGCUGAGGCGCGACAGCG